rnacentral:lncRNA from 1 species
UUUUAACUAUCCUUGUGAUUACAUUGGUUCUGCCUGAGUAAUCCAAAAUAUUCUCCUUAUUUUAAGGUCAGCUGGUUAGCAACCUUGAUUUUAUUUGCAAUCUUAAUUUCCCUUUGCCAGUUAACCUAAAACAGGCACAAAUUCUGUGGAUAAGGAUGUGGUUAUCUUUGAAAACCGUUGACUAGGUCUAAAAUUUAACCCUCAGCCUUCCAAAUUUCUGAAAGCACUUACCAUGUGAUUGGGUUCAAUGCAUAUAAUAAUGCACAUUAUAAUGUGUGCAUGUGUCUGUGCGUGGUGUGUGUGUGUGUUUGUGUGUUUUCUCACACCAAAUACAUGGGGUCUUUUUCCAUAUCACUUCUUGAGCUCUUUCAGUACCAACCAGAUGUCCUAUAAUUCAGUUCAAUUCUGACACUAGGAGUUAGUGUCAGACCCCACGGGUUUAGGGGCUCAUUCCUUUAAGACUGUCCCCAGGUUACCCACACUUCUGUCUGACUUUGACUACAAAGAGUUCUCAUGUCCUACCCCUCCUUUCAUGUUUGAAAAUUUGCCAGAAUGAGUCACAGAACUGAGAAUAUGCUAUAUGGACUAUUAUACACAAAUAAUUAUAAAGCAUACAACUGAACAGAUAAGGAAAUACAUAGGGCAAGGUCUAGAAUAGCUCUGAGACAGGAGCCUCACUCUGGUGGAGUGGGGGUUGUCACCCUCCCAUGGAUGUGUUUGGGAAUUUAGAAGCUCCUAGAACCCUGACAUUGAUGGAUUUUUUCCAUGUAGGCCUGAAUUUUAAAAUUUAUUUAUGUAUUUAUUUAUGACAGCAGAAUGCAUGACAAUUCUUAUUACACAUAUAGAGCGCAAUUUUUCAUAUCUCUGGUUGUAUACAUAGUAUACUCACACCAAUUCGUGUCUUCGUACAUGUACUUUGGAUACUAAUGUCCAUCACAUUCCACCAUCAUUUCUAACCCCAUGCCCCUUCCCACUCCUCUGUCCUAUCUAGAGUUCAUCUAUUCCUCCCAUGCUCUCCCUCCCUAGCCCACUAUGAGUCAGCCUCCUUAUUUCAGAGAAAAACAUUUGGCAUUUGUUUUUUUUUGGAUUGGCUAACUUCACUUAGCAUUAUCUUCUCCAACACCAUCCAUUUACCGGCAAAUGCCAUGAUUUUAUUCUCUUUUAAUGCUGAGUAAUAUUCCAUUGUGUAUAUAUGUCACAUUUUUUAAUCCUUUCAUCUAUUGAAGGGCAUUUAGGUUGGUUCCACAGUUUAGCUAUUGUGAAUUGUGCUGCUAUAAACAUUGAUGUGGCUGUGUCCCUGUAGUAUGCUGUUUUUAAGUCCUUUGGGUAUAGACUAAGGAGAGGCUAUCUGGGUCAAAUGGUGGUUCCAUUCCCAAUUUUCCAAGAAAUCUCCAUACUGCUUUCCAUAUUGGCUGCACCAAUUUUCAGUCCCACCAACAGUGUAUGAGUAUACCUUUCCCCCACAUCCUCGC